GACGAACGCUGGCGGCGUGCUUAACACAUGCAAGUCGAACGGAAAGGCCCUGCUUUUGUGGGGUGCUCGAGUGGCGAACGGGUGAGUAACACGUGAGUAACCUGCCCUUGACUUUGGGAUAACUACAGGAAACUGGGUCUAAUACCGGAUAGGAGCUCCUGCUGCAUGGUGGGGGUUGGAAAGUUUCGGCGGUUGGGGAUGGACUCGCGGCUUAUCAGCUUGUUGGUGGGGUAGUGGCUUACCAAGGCUUUGACGGGUAGCCGGCCUGAGAGGGUGACCGGCCACAUUGGGACUGAGAUACGGCCCAGACUCCUACGGGAGGCAGCAGUGGGGAAUAUUGCACAAUGGGCGGAAGCCUGAUGCAGCAACGCCGCGUGCGGGAUGACGGCCUUCGGGUUGUAAACCGCUUUCGCCUGUGACGAAGCGUGAGUGACGGUAAUGGGUAAAGAAGCACCGGCUAACUACGUG
rnacentral:rRNA from 1 species